AAUACGGAGGGCGCGAGCGUUGUCCGGAAUCACUGGGCGUAAAGGGCGCGUAGGCGGCGCGGGCAGCGUGCGGUGAAAGCCCGGGGCUCAACCCCGGGUCGGCCGUGCGGACUCCCGCGCUCGAGCACUGUAGGGGCGGGCGGAAUUCCGGGUGUAGCGGUGGAAUGCGUAGAGAUCCGGAAGAACACCGGUGGCGAAGGCGGCCCGCUGGGCAGUGGCUGACGCUGAGGCGCGACAGCGUGGGGAGCAAACAGGA
rnacentral:rRNA from 1 species